GAAUGCUAAUUAAAUUUUACUCCUCCUUCUUCUUUGGGCAUGACAAUGGGUAGCAAACCAGAAACGCUAAUCCUCACCACUUCUUUUCUCUUGUGCGCCUAGAACGGCAUGACCAAGCUAAAUUCUUUUCUGGUCAGCCAUUAAGUUUAAUUACCAACAAGCUUAAACAUCAUCUCCCUUGUUUCCCUUGAGCGCUGGGCAGAGGACGGACCAUAUUUGAAGUGGGUGCCUAAUUUCCAAACCAACAAGUCACGCCAUCCGUUCUUUCUUGCGCAUUGAAAGGGAGAACUAAACUGGUUAAUACCUUCUAGAUUCAGGCAGAAAACAUGGCCCUCAACCUCCCCCAUUUUUGAGCGAGAACUACAUGUACACAAAUUAAUUUGACCCCUUAAGGACACAGACCAGAAAUACAUGUACUUCUUCUGACCAAGAAAACAGCGCACAACCAUUCCAUCCCUUCAUCUUGUGCGAAUGGCAAAUCAAGGAAAAGGACACAAAUUAAUUUGACCGCUUGUCCUUCCCCAUGGUUCAGAGUCACAAGCCUUUUCCCUCACUUCCUCCUUGUUCAGCUGAGAGCAACUCCCUAGAAGGUGAGGUAAUUUCUGGCAGCGCUUUGCUCCUCACGAAUUUGAUCAGUCCCACUUGAGUUCUUUCUCUUUGCAUGUGUAUAACUCUGCUUUGAUUGGAUCGUCUUUUCCAUGACAAGCGACUGAAACCAACUUCUUGGAGUUUUGGAAGAGGGAGGUGGCUGCUCCGUGACUGAAUGGCUAGCCUUGAAUACUUGCUUGAAGGUGCACAUAACCUUUGAGUGUGGACUGAGUUUGCUGCUGUUUGAUUUAUAUUUGGGCACGCCAAGAGGACGAAAGAGCAUAUGAGGACAUGGAUUAUUUGGAUAUUUACUAUUAAUUGCUGUUGUUUGGACUUGAUGUAAUUUUGUCUGUUGGAUGAUGUUGGAUGACUGUACUAUUGUUGUGUGGAGAACCUUAGACUAUUGUUGGAACCAUGAUUUUAUUACUGUUGUGAGACUUUUAUGAUUAUCUAUUACUU